rnacentral:rRNA from 1 species
UGCUAAUACCGCAUACGAUCCAAUCUCGGCAUCGAGACUGGAUGAAAGGUGGCCUCUAUUUAUAAGCUAUCACUGAAGGAGGGGAUUGCGUCUGAUUAGCUAGUUGGAGGGGUAACGGCCCACCAAGGCGAUGAUCAGUAGCCGGUCUGAGAGGAUGAACGGCCACAUUGGGACUGAGACACGGCCCAGACUCCUACGGGAGGCAGCAUG